UAACGGCGAGUGAAGCGGCAACAGCUCAAAUUUGAAACCUGCCAACAGGCCGGAUUGUAAUUUGCAGAGGAUACUUCGGCCCCGGUGCUGCUCUAGGUUCUUUGGAACAGGACGCCACAGAGGGUGAGAGCCCCGUCUAUGGGCGGUGCUUGGGGCCAUGUGAAGUGCCUUCGACGAGUCGAGUUGUUUGGGAAUGCAGCUCUAAAUGGGAGGUAAAUUUCUUCCAAGGCUAAAUACCGGCUGGAGACCGAUAGCGCACAAGUAGAGUGAUCGAAAGAUGAAAAGUACUUUGGAAAGAGAGUCAAACAGCACGUGAAAUUGUUGAAAGGGAAGCGCUUGCAGUCAGACUUGGCUGCCCGGUUCGGCGGUGCCUCGUGUACCGUCUCUGCCGCGGCGGCCAGGCCAGCAUUGGUUUGGGCGGUCGGAUAAAGGCUGCGGGAAUGUAGCACCCUCCGGGGUGUGUUAUAGCCCGCGGCAUAAUACGACCAGCCCGGACCAAGGAACGCGCUUCGGCUCGGAUGCUGGCGUAAUGGCUGUAAGCGGCCCGUCUUGAAACACGGACCAAGGAGUCUAACAUCUAUGCGAGUGUUCGGGUGUCAAGCCCGUGCGCGCAAUGAAAGUGAACGGAGGUGGGAGCUUCGGCGCACCAUCGACCGAUCCUGAUGUCUUCGGAAGGAUUUGAGUACGAGCAUAGCUGUUGGGACCCGAAAGAUGGUGAACUAUGCCUAAACAGGGUGAAGCCAGAGGAAACUCUGGUGGAGGCUCGCAGCGGUUCUGACGUCGCAAUCGAUCGUCAAAUUUGG
rnacentral:rRNA from 1 species